GUGCUCACUUUGGCAGCAUGUAUACUAAAACUGCAGCGAUACAGAGAAGACUAGCAUGGUCCCUGAGCAAGGAAGACAUGCAAAUUCAUGAAGCGUUCCAUAUUUUU
ensembl:snRNA U6 U6 spliceosomal RNA